AACUGAUACUACCUGCGGGAACCUGCGGAAGGAUCAUUACAGAGUUGCAAAACUCCCAAACCAUUGUGAACGUUACCCAUCCCGUUGCUUCGGCGGGCGGCCCGGGCCCCGUGCCCGGCGCCCCCCGGCCCCUCGCGGGCGCCCGCCGGAGGUAAACCAAACUCUUGAAUUGUAUGGCCUCUCUGAGUCUUCUGUACUGAAUAAGUCAAAACUUUUAACAAUGGAUCUCUAGAUCGGAAG
rnacentral:misc_RNA from 1 species